rnacentral:rRNA from 1 species
GGGGUGCUCGAGUGGCGAACGGGUGAGUAACACGUGAGUAACCUGCCCUUGACUUUGGGAUAACUUCAGGAAACUGGGGCUAAUACCGGAUAGGAGCUCCUGCUGCAUGGUGGGGGUUGGAAAGUUUCGGCGGUUAGGGAUGGACUCGCGGCUUAUCAGCUUGUUGGUGGGGUAGUGGCUUACCAAGGCCUUGACGGGUAGCCGGCCUGAGAGGGUGACCGGCCACAUUGGGACUGAGAUACGGCCCAG